UCCUUAUACAGAACAACUGCUUUCCCAGUGUUGAUAGUUGGCAACCCACUCCAGCUUUCUUUCCUGAAGAAUCCCAUGGACAGAGGAGCCUGGUGGGCCGCGGUCCAUGAGGUUGCAAAGAGUCAGACCCGACUGAGUGACUGAGCAUGCGUGCAUACUCGCUAGCAACUUGACAGGUCCAAAUCUCUUAGUUCUGCUUAAAUCAUCUGCCUCAUGACAAGUCUGUGGAUUCCCCAAAUAACUGUGUCAAAUCAGAUUAAAAGUUUAAUUCUGCGUUGGAAGACUGAGCUAGAAGGCCCCCGUGAGCCCAGGACCCUUCUCCCUCUUCCUGAAGACAGCUCCUGUGACCCUCGCUCGAGGACCCGUGGCGGGGUUAGGGAAAAGAUGGAAAACAGUCAUUGUAAAGGUGUCAACCGCUUGGAACGCUGCAGGCGGCGACACCCUGGAGCUGGUAACUGGUGCUUCGGGCGCUGGUGAGGUAUGCCCUGCUUGCCCUGAGCUGAAAGGCUCCCCCGGAGCCUCCCAGUCUGGGCUGUCAUUGAGCUGCACCUCAGACAAUGGGCUUCUCGGUGAGCUUUCUUCUGGGGGCCCUCGAUAGGCCCGAGCGGGGAUGGCCUCUGAGAAGUGCGAGGACACAGCCCUCCUUUGUGUUAGAGCAGCAGGUCUUGUUGGGUGUUGCCAGCAGGCUGCCGACUUGGUUGACAGCCUCCCCACCUGCUCUCUCCCACUCAGCCUCCAGAUUCCCAGGGCUCCCUGUGCACCCACCCACCGUCCUCCGUCCUCCUCAGCCUGCUCCCAGGGUGUCUGGGAGGGAGCCCCAAGGAGAGCCAGCGGGGUGCAAAUAAGGGACAGUUUGCUCUCUUGAGGUCCCUUCCCCGGUCUGCAUGGCUAACGUACCAUCAGGGUUCAACCAGCCUGAGAGCCACUUCUCAGGUGCCUUGUGAACUCAGCCAGUUUCCUCAGAGGUCACUGUCACCAGCAGUGAUGACUCAGAUGCUGCUGAUUGCGUAGGGUGGGGAGUGUGGCAAACUGCAUAUUCGUGCUCUGUGUCCCUAGGUGCCUCGGUCGUGUCUGACUCUUUGCGACCCCGUGGACUGUAGCCCACCAGGCUCCUCUGUCCAGGGGAUUCUCCAGGCAAGAAUACUGGAGUGGGUUGCCAUGUCCUCCUCCAGGGGAUCUUCUGGACCCAGGGACCGAUCCCGAGUCUCUGUGUCUUCUGCACUGGCAGACUCACACAGAGCCUUCCUUACCCUGAAUAAGGACUGAGAAAUUCUCUGAUUGUAAUAUUUCCUCCUCUUGUGGAUAAAGGAGUAUGAGAGGAUGAUUACGAUUGUGCAAAGUUUGGCUCCCUCUCCUUCAUGCAUGUACCUGGAGGUGAGAGUAAAUCCAGCCUGUACGAGCUCUGGCUUUCAAUGAAAAUGUCUCAAAAACUUCAUCCCUCUUUUCAUUAACUGCUGCUGCUGAGGCUCCUCCCUAGGGCCCCUGUCAAAAGAAAAUGCUCUUCACCCUGUUUUGUCUAAUGCUGAUUUUGUUUUCUUCUUCUGAAACUGUUGUAAGUGGUUGGAAUCAUUAUCCAUAAACGUGUUAAUGUGUUUAAAACAUCCUCAUUUAAAUUGGUGGAAACAGGUCACAGGCGGUUGUGCGAUCUCUCACCCCGGUUGGUUUCUCCUUCCCUGUGCACAGUGGUGGCUUUUGGUGCUCAUUAGGGCCAAGGCAUGGGCUCAGUCCUCGU
ensembl:lncRNA